rnacentral:tRNA from 1 species
GGGCUCGUGGUCUAGUGGCUAUGACAGCGCCUUUACACGGCGUUGAUCGCCGGUUCGAGUCCGGCCGGGCCCA